GAUGAACGCUGGCGGCGUGCUUAACACAUGCAAGUCGAACGAAGCUGCUAAAAGGAAGUCUUCGGAUGGAAUUUUGGUAGACUUAGUGGCGGACGGGUGAGUAACGCGUGGAUAACCUGCCCUAUACAGGGGGAUAACGGAGAGAAAUUUCCGCUAAGACCGCAUAAGACCACAGCACCGCAUGGUGCAGGGGUAAAAUAUUUAUAGGUAUAAGAUGGAUCCGCGUCCGAUUAGCUGGUUGGUGAGGUAGAGGCUCACCAAGGCGACGAUCGGUAGCCGGCCUGAGAGGGUGAACGGCCACAUUGGGACUGAGACACGGCCCAAACUCCUACGGGAGGCAGCAGUGGGGAAUAUUGGACAAUGGGGGAAACCCUGAUCCAGCGACGCCGCGUGAGUGAAGAAGUAUUUCGGUAUGUAAAGCUCUAUCAGCAGGGAAGAAAAUGACGGUACCUGACUAAGAAGCCCCGGCUAACUACGUGCCAGCAGCCGCGGUAAUACGUAGGGGGCAAGCGUUAUCCGGAUUUACUGGGUGUAAAGGGAGCGCAGACGGCGAAGCAAGUCUGAAGUGAAAUGCAUGGGCUCAACCCAUGAAUUGCUUUGGAAACUGUUUGGCUUGAGUGUCGGAGGGGUAAGCGGAAUUCCUAGUGUAGCGGUGAAAUGCGUAGAUAUUAGGAGGAACACCGGAGGCGAAGGCGGCUUACUGGACGACAACUGACGUUGAGGCUCGAAGCGUGGGGAGCAAACAGG
rnacentral:rRNA from 1 species